rnacentral:rRNA from 1 species
GACGAACGCUGGCGGCGUGCUUAACACAUGCAAGUCGAACGGUGAACCUCUUCGGAGGGGAUCAGUGGCGAACGGGUGAGUAACACGUGGGCAACCUGCCCCCGGCUCUGGGAUAACUCCAAGAAAUUGGGGCUAAUACCGGAUGUUCACCGCUUCCCGCAUGGGUGGUGGUGGAAAGGGUUUCCGGCUGGGGAUGGGCCCGCGGCCUAUCAGCUUGUUGGUGGGGUAGUGGCCUACCAAGGCGACGACGGGUAGCCGGCCUGAGAGGGUGACCGGCCACACUGGGACUGAGACACGGCCCAGACUCCUACGGGAGGCAGCAGUGGGGAAUAUUGCGCAAUGGGCGGAAGCCUGACGCAGCGACGCCGCGUGGGGGAUGACGGCCUUCGGGUUGUAAACCUCUUUCAGCAGGGACGAAGCGCAAGUGACGGUACCUGCAGAAGAAGCACCAGCCAACUACGUG